CAGAACGGAAGUUCCUGAACUUACAAACCCGCGGGGAAGCAAGUCGGCAACGGACCAAGAUGGCGGCGCCCAGUGAGGGGCCAGCGUUUGCUUGGGGAGUAGAAAAUAAUUGGGGUGCGGUUGUUCGCUCUCCAGAAGGGACCCCCCAGAAAGUUCGGCAGCUAAUAGAUGAGGGGAUUGCUCCGGAAGAGGGAGGCGCCGACGCGAAGGACACAUCAGCCACAUUCCAGUCUGCUAAUGGAUCACCCAAAGCAGAACAGCCGCCAUUGGAAUCUACAAGCAAAGAAGCCUUCUUUAACAGAGUGGAAACAUUUUCUUCUUUGAAAUGGGCAGGUAAGCCCCCCGAGCUGUCUCCACUUGUCUGUGCAAAAUAUGGCUGGGUUACAGUUGAAUGUGAUAUGCUCAAAUGCUCCAGCUGUCAGGCUUUUCUCUGUGCCAGUUUACAACCAGCUUUUGAUUUUGACAGAUAUAAGGACCGCUGUGCUGAGCUGAAGAAAGCCUUGUGUACUGCCCAUGAGAAGUUCUGUUUCUGGCCAGAUAGCCCCUCUCCAGAUAGAUUUGGGAUGUUGCCAUUGGAGGAGCCUGCUGCUCUCCUUAGUGAAUUCCUAGAGCGUUUUCAAAGCCUGUGUCACUUGGAUCUCCAGCUUCCUUCCCUGAGGCCAGAGGACUUGAAAACUAUGUGUUUGACAGAAGACAAGAUCAGUCUUCUCCUACAUCUGCUUGAAGAGGAACUUGAUCACCGAACUGAUGAGAAAAGAAACACAACCAAAUUAGGCUCAGACAUCCACGUCCACAUCACUGCCUGUAUCCUCUCUCUGUGUGGCUGGGCAUGUGGUUCUUCCUUGGAACCCAUGCAGCUCUCGCUGAUAACGUGCUCACAGUGUAUGAGGAAGGUGGGGCUCUGGGGCUUCCAGCAGAUUGAAUCGUCAGUGACCGACCUGGACACAUCCUUUGGCCUGACCAGCUCCCCCAUCUCAGGCCCUGAGGGGAGGCCAGAGCGCGUCCUUCUGGUGCCUGAGUCUCCUCGGAGGAUGAUGACUCGCAGCCAGGAUGUCACCUUUUCCCCAGGCUCAGAGCAGCCUGAAAGGAGCCCAGGCCCCAUUGUCUCCCGAACCCGGAGCUGGGACUCUUCCAGUCCUGUCGACCGUGCUGAGCCGGAGGCCACCAGCCCCACCACCAGAACCCGCCCAGUGACCCGCAGCAUGGGCACAGGAGACACCGCUGGCCUAGAAGUGCCAUCUAGCCCUCUCCGGAGAGCCAAACGAGCUCGCCUCUGCUCUUCCAGCAGCUCUGUGCGUCCUCCUGCCCGUGGAAGCCAUGGAGCAUGGGCAGCCUGCCGUGCCCUCCCUGUGAGGCAGGGAGAGGCCGGCACGAGCCCUUCCCUGGUCCUGUGCUAUAAGACCAUGACACAUCUUCCCGAAGCUUCUUCGAUCCUACCUCUCAACAUAGAGAUUGGUGCCCUUGGGUGAACAUCACAUUUGGCAAGGAAAAUAGGGAGAGUAGCAGAACUGAGGGAGAUGCCAGCACCCCAGCGGAGCCAGGCUGGAGGGCAACCCUGAACAUCCUCUUGACCCACAAACAGUCCAAGCGGCCAGCUGAAAGAGACUCUGUGAGUCUCUCUGAGAAAUCAAGAAACGUAUUCCGAAUAUUCCGGCAAUGGGAGUCUUCAUUCUCAUCCUGAAGAUAUUCCAGACCUUCCUGUAGAGAGGUGGAAUGAGUGACUUUGUAAAAAAAUCUGAAUUCCCUUUUGGUCAGCUGAUGCUAAGCUUUUCUCCAUCUGGUGUAAUCAGAAAGAGCACCUGUCCUUGCAGAGGCUAUGCGUGUUCCUGUCUGCCUCUGACCAAGGGGACUUCCAUGUAGGGAUGAGGACAGGGCGAAGUGCAGCAAGCCUGGUUUUGUUAAAGGAGUGGGGUUAUGAAACUAGACUGAGGGCCAGUGACUUGAGCACUUUUAAUGUCUUCAGUGUGGGGCCGUGCUUUGAGGACUUGUAUCUUAGGAAUAUGCCAGUAUGUGUUAAUAAAAUUCUUGCUAAGAUUCUUA